GCAAGUCGAGCGAAUGAUGAGGAGCUUGCUCCUCUGAUUUAGCGGCGGACGGGUGAGUAACACGUGGGUAAUCUGCCUGUAAGACGGGGAUAACUCCGGGAAACCGGGGCUAAUACCGGAUAAUAAGAGAAGAAGCAUUUCUUCUUUUUGAAAGUCGGUUUCGGCUGACACUUACAGAUGAGCCCGCGGCGCAUUAGCUAGUUGGUGAGGUAACGGCUCACCAAGGCGACGAUGCGUAGCCGACCUGAGAGGGUGAUCGGCCACACUGGGACUGAGACACGGCCCAGACUCCUACGGGAGGCAGCAGUAGGGAAUCUUCGGCAAUGGGCGAAAGCCUGACCGAGCAACGCCGCGUGAGCGAUGAAGGCCUUCGGGUCGUAAAGCUCUGUUGUUAGAGAAGAACAAGUACGAGAGUAACUGCUCGUACCUUGACGGUACCUAACCAGAAAGCCACGGCUAACUACGUGCCAGCAGCCGCGGUAAUACGUAGGUGGCAAGCGUUAUCCGGAAUUAUUGGGCGUAAAGCGCGCGCAGGCGGUCUCUUAAGUCUGAUGUGAAAGCCCACGGCUCAACCGUGGAGGGUCAUUGGAAACUGGGAGACUUGAGUGCAGGAGAGAAAAGUGGAAUUCCACGUGUAGCGGUGAAAUGCGUAGAGAUGU
rnacentral:rRNA from 1 species